rnacentral:rRNA from 1 species
UACGUAGGGUGCGAGCGUUAAUCGGAAUUACUGGGCGUAAAGAGUGCGCAGGCGGCCGCGCAAGUCGGGUGUGAAAGCCCCGGGCUUAACUUGGGAAUUGCGCUCGAAACUACGUGGCUGGAGUGUGGCAGAGGAAGGUGGAAUUCCACGUGUAGCGGUGAAAUGCGUAGAGAUGUGGAGGAACACCAAUGGCGAAGGCAGCCUUCUGGGCCAACACUGACGCUCAUGCACGAAAGCGUGGGGAGCAAACAGG